rnacentral:rRNA from 1 species
CUGACGGCCAUACGGCGUCGUAGCAAAAGUAUUAAGUGUGCCGCCUGGGGAGUACGGCCGCAAGGCUAAAACUCAAAGGAAUUGACGGGGGCUCACACAAGCGGUGGAGCAUGUGGCUUAAUUCGAAGCAACGCGAAGAACCUUACCCAGGUUUGACAUGCUUGGAUGCAAUCCGGGGAUAACUCGGUGCGCUGCCCUUCGGGGUGAAACUUGCACAGGUGUUGCAUGGCUGUCGUCAGCUCGUGCUGUGAAGUGUCGGGUUAAGUCCCUUAACGAGCGAAACCCCUAUCGCUAGUUGCCAGCGGGUCAUGCCGGGGACUCUAGCGAGACUGCCGGCGUUAAGCCGGAGGAAGGUGGGGACGACGUCAAGUCAUCAUGGCCUUUAUGCCUGGGGAUGCACACGGUGCUACAAUGGCGUGAACAGAGCGACGCAAGACCGCGAGGUGGAGCAAAUCGCAAAANACACGCCCCAGUUCGGAUUGGAGUCUGCAAUUCGACUCCAUGAAGUUGGAAUCGCUAGUAAUCGCGUAUCAGC